CGGGUUCGUAAAGCUCUGUCAGUGGGGAAGAAAUGGGGCGUGCUAAUAUCGCGUCUUCUUGACGGUACCCACAAAGGAAGCACCGGCUAACUCCGUGC
rnacentral:rRNA from 1 species